GAUGAACGCUGGCGGCGUGCCUAACACAUGCAAGUCGAGCGAACAGAUGAGGAGCUUGCUCCGCUGACGUUAGCGGCGGACGGGUGAGUAACACGUGGAUAACCUACCUAUAAGACUGGGAUAACUUCGGGAAACCGGAGCUAAUACCGGAUAAUAUAUUGAACCGCAUGGUUCAAUAGUGAAAGACGGUUUUGCUGUCACUUAUAGAUGGAUCCGCGCCGCAUUAGCUAGUUGGUAAGGUAACGGCUUACCAAGGCAACGAUGCGUAGCCGACCUGAGAGGGUGAUCGGCCACACUGGAACUGAGACGCGGUCCAGACUCCUACGGGAGGCAGCAGUAGGGAAUCUUCCGCAAUGGGCGAAAGCCUGACGGAGCAACGCCGCGUGAGUGAUGAAGGUCUUCGGAUCGUAAAACUCUGUUAUUAGGGAAGAACAAAUGUGUAAGUAACUAUGCACGUCUUGACGGUACCUAAUCAGAAAGCCACGGCUAACUACGUG
rnacentral:rRNA from 1 species